rnacentral:rRNA from 1 species
GGUCAAUGGGCGCAAGCCUGAACCAGCCAUCCCGCGUGCAGGAAGACGGCGCUAUGCGUUGUAAACUGCUUUUCCAGGGAGAGAAACUUGCGCACCUGUUGCGCGAUUGCCGGGACCCUGCCAAUAGCCUUCGCCCCGGUCCGUGCCAGCAGCCGCGCUGUUCCGAUGGAGGGGGGGGUUAUGGGGAUUCUUUGGGCUUAAAGGUCGCGUAUGCGGAGCCGGGUUUAACCUCGGAAAUCCUGCCCCUUAACUGCACUUUGCCGUUGGUACAGAUCCCCUUAACCUGGGAAGGAAGGCGGAAUGUGUUUCGUGGGGUAACAAUGCUGGGAUUUUACACCAAACACCAAUUGCGUAGGCGCCUUACUGACCCGACCCUGACCCUAAGCCGAAAAACUAAGGCGUUCGAACAGGAUUAGAUACCCUGGUACUCCACCCCGUAACCAAAAAUAACUCGCUGUGGGCAAUCCAAUGUCAUCGCCUAAGCAAAACCAUAAACUAAUCCACCUGGGAAUAACGACUACAAGGUUAAAUUUAAAAUGAAUUGACGGUG